CUUUCUAGGACGUGUUUUAUGCGACUUCUUUUUCUGCCUCAUUUUGUCCACCAAACUGUUAACGUUGUGCAUGAAGGCACAAAGCCUCCUACGGCCAGAAAGGGAAAGACUGGAGCUCCGUAGUCGGCCAUGCAGCUCAUUCCUAAAUCGGUGAUGUCUUUGAAAGACAGAGCUGGUUGGUCCUGAAGAACGGACCGAAGUGUUUAUCAUGGAAAUCCUUCUCCUGGCGGGCUCGGCUGUUGGACGCCGACCACAGCUCCACCGGGUCAGUGGUGAGUUUAAGGGACAUGAGGCCGGCGGAGAACGCGGCGACAAUGAUGGCCGACACCAGGAGAACCUUAGAA